rnacentral:rRNA from 1 species
GGAMMGCCCYWAMMMMUUGCMAGUCGAGCGGAUGAAGGGAGCUUGCUCCUGGAUUCAGCGGCGGACGGGUGAGUAAUGCCUAGGAAUCUGCCUGGUAGUGGGGGAUAACGUCCGGAAACGGGCGCUAAUACCGCAUACGUCCUGAGGGAGAAAGUGGGGGAUCUUCGGACCUCACGCUAUCAGAUGAGCCUAGGUCGGAUUAGCUAGUUGGUGGGGUAAAGGCCUACCAAGGCGACGAUCCGUAACUGGUCUGAGAGGAUGAUCAGUCACACUGGAACUGAGACACGGUCCAGACUCCUACGGGAGGCAGCAGUGGGGAAUAUUGGACAAUGGGCGAAAGCCUGAUCCAGCCAUGCCGCGUGUGUGAAGAAGGUCUUCGGAUUGUAAAGCACUUUAAGUUGGGAGGAAGGGCAGUAAGUUAAUACCUUGCUGUUUUGACGUUACCAACAGAAUAAGCACCGGCUAACUUCGUGCCAGCAGCCGCGGUAAUACGAAGGGUGCAAGCGUUAAUCGGAAUUACUGGGCGUAAAGCGCGCGUAGGUGGUUCAGCAAGUUGGAUGUGAAAUCCCCGGGCUCAACCUGGGAACUGCAUCCAAAACUACUGAGCUAGAGUACGGUAGAGGGUGGUGGAAUUUCCUGUGUAGCGGUGAAAUGCGUAGAUAUAGGAAGGAACACCAGUGGCGAAGGCGACCACCUGGACUGAUACUGACACUGAGGUGCGAAAGCGUGGGGAGCAAACAGGAUUAGAUACCCUGGUAGUCCACGCCGUAACGAUGUCGACUAGCCGUUGGGAUCCUUGAGAUCUUAGUGGCGCAGCUAACGCGAUAAGUCGACCGCCUGGGGAGUACGGCCGCAAGGUUAAAACUCAAAUGAAUUGACGGGGGCCCGCACAAGCGGUGGAGCAUGUGGUUUAAWUUCGAAGCAACSCGAAGAACCUUACCUGGCCUUGACAUGCUGAGAACUUUCCAGAGAUGGAUUGGUGCCUUYCGGGAACUCAGACACAGUGCUGCAUGGCCUGUCGUCAGCUCGUGYCKKRAGAUGUUGGCUAMGUCCCGUAACGAGCSCAACCCUUGUCCUUAGUUACCASCMCCUCGGGUGGC